rnacentral:rRNA from 1 species
CACGUAGGGGCAAGCGUUGUCCGGAUUUAUUGGGCGUAAAGAGCUCGUAGGCGGUUCGGUAAGUCGGGUGUGAAACCUCCAGGCUCAACCUGGAGACGCCACCCGAUACUGCUGUGACUAGAGUCCGGUAGGGGAGCGUGGAAUUCCUGGUGUAGCGGUGAAAUGCGCAGAUAUCAGGAGGAACACCAGCGGCGAAGGCGGCGCUCUGGGCCGGAACUGACGCUGAGGAGCGAAAGCGUGGGAGCAAACAGG